UAGGAUAAAUGAAAUUAUUGGCUUUCAUAUUUUAAUUUCACAAUUUUCAUAAUCUACAUGAGAAGCCACAAUGGGCGUUUCUUCUUGAAACUUAUGAAAGGUGGCAUCCCCAGUUACACACUCCAUGUUAUAGAAUAUCAGUUAGCAUCUAUGAUGGAUCAAUGGUGUGAUUCUGUUGUGUUCAUUGCAGCUCGGCUGGGAGGCUGCCAAGCCCUGUAUGGAAGACAAAUAUUUUCUUGCUUUCUGGCCCUAAAAUUGACGUCCUCCCUUCUCCCUCAGAUGUACAAAGACUGAAGGACCAUGGAUUAGGCCUGUGCAUGAGGGGACAGAAACCAGAAGCUCCAAAAUUAACCUGAAUUGGAGCUUGUCUGAACUGAACAACUUUGUGUGUCAAAGCUACCCACACAUCAGCCUAAAUCUGGUUGGCUUUGAACUGGCAAGAGCUGGAAAAGGACGAAAGGAAACCUGUCAACCUCAGCAAUGUCCAGGAGUUUGUUUGCAGAACCCUCAACUGCACCAGAAGUACAGGACGUCUCUCCAGAGGUUGAGAGAGUACCAACAGACAACAUUUGGAGGAAGAGCAGAUUGGCGAUCUCUGCGGUCCCAGCAAGACGAAGAGUACGAAGAGUCUUUUUUAGCAGACCAAGAAAAUAAGGAGAAUGCAGUCCCAUUACCCUUGGAAUGAUACUGGAAUUUGCUUCUGGAGCAUCCACGGUACCUCCACUGGGCUUUCACCAUCGUCCACAAAUUGAAUUCCUCCAUGAGUCUAACAGAGUCUUCCCAGAAGCAAAUACUUGCCUGAUAGUACUCUGCCUUCCUGUACACCCAGACUAUGAGUCUUUCACAAAGUACAUGACAGACGGGGUGCUGCAGGGACCUACCUUUGGUGUUGCAUAAUCAACUAAUAACUGUAAUAAGCAUUUCUUUUAAAAUAGAGUUGGAAUGUUUUGAAAAGUUAAGUAUUUUAAAGCAAGUUAUAGUAAAGGUAAUGUAAUGGCCGAAAUAUUGGAAUGUAAAUACAAUAUUGGCUUCUCUUGUUUUUUUGCAAAGAAUAGGAGUCUUUUUAACCACUUUUUGGUUUCACAAUUUAAAGGUGUACGUUUAAGCCACACUGCAAAUCAAAAGGUCUACUCUGGUAAUGAACACUGCUCAAUUGCUCUCCAGAAUGUGUAAUUAAUUUGUCAUAUCUUUAAACACCUUAACAUUUAUAAUUAAAUCUGAAAGGUUACCUACUCGUGUCAAUUCCGAGUUUUAUUUGUAGUAAUUGUAUCUUUAGAACAAUGCAUUUGAUCAAGUGUUCUGUGACAUGUACUUAAAUCAAUAAAGCAUUUGCAGUUUCUGCACAACAGACCUGGUAUUUCUCCUUCAGAUCUGAAAUAUGAUUGACUGCAAGAUUAAAUGACUGAGGUCGGUGCCAACUGAGCCUGGUCCGAGGUGGUUCUACAACUACACUAGGAACCUCUUCAGCAACAGUGGUUGGUAGUGGCCAAAGGCCAUGCUGUUGCAGAGUCUCUGGUGCGCUGGAAUUUUCACCAAACACGUUGUUAGUUGCUGUGCUGUUUGCCAACAUCCGUUCAGUGCAGAUUUCUGUUGGUGUUUUAUUGUUUUCUGUAUGCAAGGAAUGGUGGUUCCAUGACUUUCUGAAUUGUUCCAGUCGGCUUUGAAUCUCAGGAAGAAAAACUAUGUGAAGAGAAAGUUUGUGCACAUCAUUGCUGGGAUCCAAGAGGGCUGAAUCUUUAAGAUUAUAAAAUGUGCUAUAAAAUGGUUCCAGAACAUGUAAAACCACAUCCCUCCAAAGACGCUCAACUCUGAUUAUGGAUGGAUUCCCCAGUUAGAUGACUCCGACGUUCAUCACCAGUGCCAC